rnacentral:lncRNA from 10 species
GAUACACAAUGUGGGCUCUUACUCUGGGGCAACGAAACUACUUAAACUUCUGGCAACUCUCCAAAAUAGAUUCUGGGCCUGUGAGGACUGGGAGACUCUCUUGUAGCAAGAACUGCUGGCAUCUGUGAUGGCUGUGGAAACCGCUGGAAGUCUUUUGCAUACCAUUUUCCUGUAGGAAGAAGCCACCCUGACUCCCAGUCAUUUCUGGUAGGAGAGACAGUGUGGC